CGGGACACGUGGUAUCCUGUCUGAAUAUGGGGGGACCAUCCUCCAAGGCUAAAUACUCCUGACUGACCGAUAGUGAACCAGUACCGUGAGGGAAAGGCGAAAAGAACCCCGGCGAGGGGAGUGAAAAAGAACCUGAAACCGUGUACGUACAAGCAGUGGGAGCACAGAGCAAUCUGUGUGACUGCGUACCUUUUGUAUAAUGGGUCAGCGACUUAUAUUCUGUAGCAAGGUUAACCGAAUAGGGGAGCCGAAGGGAAACCGAGUCUUAACCGGGCGUUAAGUUGCAGGGUAUAGACCCGAAACCCGGUGAUCUAGCCAUGGGCAGGUUGAAGGUUGGGUAACACUAACUGGAGGACCGAACCGACUAAUGUUGAAAAAUUAGCGGAUGACUUGUGGCUGGGGGUGAAAGGCCAAUCAAACCGGGAGAUAGCUGGUUCUCCCCGAAAGCUAUUUAGGUAGCGCCUCGUGAAUUCAUCUCCGGGGGUAGAGCACUGUUUCGGCAAGGGGGUCAUCCCGACUUACCAACCCGAUGCAAACUGCGAAUACCGGAGAAUGUUAUCACGGGAGACACACGGCGGGUGCUAACGUCCGUCGUGAAGAGGGAAACAACCCAGACCGCCAGCUAAGGUCCCAAAGUCAUGGUUAAGUGGGAAACGAUGUGGGAAGGCCCAGACAGCCAGGAUGUUGGCUUAGAAGCAGCCAUCAUUUAAAGAAAGCGUAAUAGCUCACUGGUCGAGUCGGCCUGCGCGGAAGAUGUAACGGGGCUAAACCAUGCACCGAAGCUGCGGCAGCGACACUGUGUGUUGUUGGGUAGGGGAGCGUUCUGUAAGCCUGUGAAGGUGUGCUGUGAGGCAUGCUGGAGGUAUCAGAAGUGCGAAUGCUGACAUAAGUAACGAUAAAGCGGGUGAAAAGCCCGCUCGCCGGAAGACCAAGGGUUCCUGUCCAACGUUAAUCGGGGCAGGGUGAGUCGACCCCUAAGGCGAGGCCGAAAGGCGUAGUCGAUGGGAAACAGGUUAAUAUUCCUGUACUUGGUGUUACUGCGAAGGGGGGACGGAGAAGGCUAUGUUGGCCGGGCGACGGUUGUCCCGGUUUAAGCGUGUAGGCUGGUUUUCCAGGCAAAUCCGGAAAAUCAAGGCUGAGGCGUGAUGACGAGGCACUACGGUGCUGAAGCAACAAAUGCCCUGCUUCCAGGAAAAGCCUCUAAGCAUCAGGUAACAUCAAAUCGUACCCCAAACCGACACAGGUGGUCAGGUAGAGAAUACCAAGGCGCUUGAGAGAACUCGGGUGAAGGAACUAGGCAAAAUGGUGCCGUAACUUCGGGAGAAGGCACGCUGAUAUGUAGGUGAAGUCCCUCGCGGAUGGAGCUGAAAUCAGUCGAAGAUACCAGCUGGCUGCAACUGUUUAUUAAAAACACAGCACUGUGCAAACACGAAAGUGGACGUAUACGGUGUGACGCCUGCCCGGUGCCGGAAGGUUAAUUGAUGGGGUCAGCGCAAGCGAAGCUCUUGAUCGAAGCCCCGGUAAACGGCGGCCGUAACUAUAACGGUCCUAAGGUAGCGAAAUUCCUUGUCGGGUAAGUUCCGACCUGCACGAAUGGCGUAAUGAUGGCCAGGCUGUCUCCACCCGAGACUCAGUGAAAUUGAACUCGCUGUGAAGAUGCAGUGUACCCGCGGCAAGACGGAAAGACCCCGUGAACCUUUACUAUAGCUUGACACUGAACAUUGAGCCUUGAUGUGUAGGAUAGGUGGGAGGCUUUGAAGUGUGGACGCCAGUCUGCAUGGAGCCGACCUUGAAAUACCACCCUUUAAUGUUUGAUGUUCUAACGUGGACCCGUGAUCCGGGUUGCGGACAGUGUCUGGUGGGUAGUUUGACUGGGGCGGUCUCCUCCUAAAGAGUAACGGAGGAGCACGAAGGUUGGCUAAUCCUGGUCGGACAUCAGGAGGUUAGUGCAAUGGCAUAAGCCAGCUUGACUGCGAGCGUGACGGCGCGAGCAGGUGCGAAAGCAGGUCAUAGUGAUCCGGUGGUUCUGAAUGGAAGGGCCAUCGCUCAACGGAUAAAAGGUACUCCGGGGAUAACAGGCUGAUACCGCCCAAGAGUUCAUAUCGACGGCGGUGUUUGGCACCUCGAUGUCGGCUCAUCACAUCCUGGGGCUGAAGUAGGUCCCAAGGGUAUGGCUGUUCGCCAUUUAAAGUGGUACGCGAGCUGGGUUUAGAACGUCGUGAGACAGUUCGGUCCCUAUCUGCCGUGGGCGCUGGAGAACUGAGGGGGGCUGCUCCUAGUACGAGAGGACCGGAGUGGACGCAUCACUGGUGUUCGGGUUGUCAUGCCAAUGGCACUGCCCGGUAGCUAAAUGCGGAAGAGAUAAGUGCUGAAAGCAUCUAAGCACGAAACUUGCCCCGAGAUGAGUUCUCCCUGACCCUUUAAGGGUCCUGAAGGAACGUUGAAGACGACGACGU
rnacentral:rRNA from 1 species